AGUCCUCUCUCCUGCGCCGCAUGCUGCCUCGCGCUCCCUUUCCUUCCCCCUCUACCCCCUUCCGCGAUUUACUGUUUCCUCGCGCCCAACAGAAAUGGGCGACCGCAAGUCUUACUCUCGCCGGCGUUACAAAGAAAGGAAGGAGGAGACCUGAACAGUACAUCCGGAGAAUCCAGCAAAGCAUACUACGGCAUGAACGUGCAAGUGGACAGAAUUAAAACACAUGCCAGAAACACUAAUGGAUUCUAAACAAGAUGCAGUUUCAUUUCCUGAGCCUAUACGUGAUGUUUUUAACUGUUCUCCAGUUAAUAUGUCUCCAUUUCCAGAAAUCUAACAGGAGAAUCUCUGACUGCUUAACAGAUCACCUAA
rnacentral:lncRNA from 1 species